rnacentral:rRNA from 1 species
UACGUAGGGUGCAAGCGUUAAUCGGAAUUACUGGGCGUAAAGCGUGCGCAGGCGGUUUUGUAAGUCUGUCGUGAAAUCCCCGGGCUCAACCUGGGAAUUGCGAUGGAGACUGCAAGGCUAGAAUCUGGCAGAGGGGGGUAGAAUUCCACGUGUAGCAGUGAAAUGCGUAGAGAUGUGGAGGAACACCGAUGGCGAAGGCAGCCCCCUGGGUCAAGAUUGACGCUCAUGCACGAAAGCGUGGGGAGC